rnacentral:rRNA from 1 species
GUAGGCAGCAAGCGUUGUUCGGAGUUACUGGGCGUAAAGAGUGCGUAGGCGGUGUCGAAAGUUUGGCGUGAAAUCUCCCGGCUUAACUGGGAGGGUGCGCCGAAAACUGCGAUGCUGGAGUGUGGGAAAGGCAAGCGGAAUUCCUGGUGUAGCGGUGAAAUGCGUAGAUAUCAGGAGGAACACCGGCGGUGUAGACGGCUUGCUAGACCAUAACUGACGCUGAGGCACGAAAGCGUGGGUAGCAAACAGGAUUAGAUACCCUGGUAGUCCACGCCCUAAACGAUGCAUACUUGGUGUGGGCAGUUCAUUCUGUCCGUGCCGGAGCUAACGCGUUAAGUAUGCCGCCUGGGGAGUACGGUCGCAAGGCUG